rnacentral:rRNA from 1 species
AGUGAACGCUGGCGGUAUGCCUAACACAUGCAAGUCGAACGGCAGCACAGUAAGAGCUUGCUCUUGCGGUUGGCGAGUGGCGGACGGGUGAGGAAUACAUCGGAAUCUACUUUUUCGUGGGGGAUAACGUAGGGAAACUUACGCUAAUACCGCAUACGACCUACGGGUGAAAGCAGGGGAUCUUCGGACCUUGCGCGAUUGAAUGAGCCGAUGUCGGAUUAGCUAGUUGGCGGGGUAAAGGCCCACCAAGGCGACGAUCCGUAGCUGGUCUGAGAGGAUGAUCAGCCAAACUGGAAAUGAGACAAGGUCCAGACUCCUAAGGGAGGCAGCAGUGGGGAAUAUUGGAGAAUGGGCGGAAGCCUGAUCCAGCCAUACCGCGUGGGUGAAGAAGGCCUUCGGGUUGUAAAGACCUUUUGUUGGGAAAGAAAAGCAGCAGGUUAAUACCCCGCUGUUCUGACGGUACCCAAAGCAUAAGCCCCGGCUAACUUCGUG